rnacentral:sRNA from 1 species
GUCGUGAGAUGUUGGGUUAAGUCCCGCAACGAGCGCAACCCUUGUCCUAUGUUGCCAGCGGGUAAUGCCGGGGACUCGUAGGAGACUGCCGGGGUCAACUCGGAGGAAGGUGGGGACGACGUCAAGUCAUCAUGCCCCUUACGUCCAGGGCUGCACACAUGCUACAAUGGCUGGUACAGAGGGCUGCUAUCCCGCGAGGGUGAGCGAAUCCCAAAAAGCCAGUCUCAGUUCGGAUUGGAGUCUGCAACUCGACUCCAUGAAGUCGGAGUCGCUAGUAAUCCCGGAUCAGCAACGCCGGGGUGAAUACGUUCCCGGGCCUUGUACACACCGCCCGUCAAACCACGAAAGUCGGCAACACCCGAAGCCGGUCACCCAACCACUUUGUGGAGGGAGCCGUCGAAGGUGGGGUUGGUGAUUGGGGUUAAGUCGUAACAAGGUAGCCGUACCGGAAGGUGCGGCUGGAUCACCUCCUUUCUAAGGAGUCACGGUCGAUUCUUGAUCGCGCAAGCGAUGAAGUAAUCGAGCACUCCCAGUCGAUCAUUGACUACUCGUUCUAUUGCGCAACCUGCGACGGUUGACUCCAACAAGACAUUUGUCGGAGUCCCCUCAACGGCUCUGUGCAAGACCGACGGACUGUUCCUAUUCCGCUUUCAGGGAGCGGCGCGGUGCUAUUUGCGCGCCCCUUGAGAACUCCAUAGCGAGCACGAGCAUCUAUAAAUCUCCAAGCUACAAAGAGCCAACGGCGGAUGCCUUGGCGCCUGAAGCCGAUGAAGGACGUGGGAGGCUGCGAAAAGCCACGGGGAGCUGCCUACCAAGCUUCGAUCCGUGGACGU